AGAGUUUGAUUCUGGCUCAGGACGAACGCUGGCGGCGUGCUUAACACAUGCAAGUCGAACGAGAAUCUACUGAAAGAGUUUUCGGACAAUGGAUGUAGAGGAAAGUGGCGGACGGGUGAGUAACGCGUGAGGAACCUGCCUUGAAGAGGGGGACAACAGUUGGAAACGACUGCUAAUACCGCAUGAAGCAUAGGGGUCGCAUGAUUCUUAUGCCAAAGAUUUAUCGCUUCAAGAUGGCCUCGCGUCUGAUUAGCUAGUUGGCGGGGUAACGGCCCACCAAGGCGACGAUCAGUAGCCGGACUGAGAGGUUGAACGGCCACAUUGGGACUGAGAUACGGCCCAG
rnacentral:rRNA from 1 species